GGCCGCGAAUUCGCCCUUAGAGUUUGAUUAUGGCUCAGGACGAACGCUGGCGGCGUGCCUAAUACAUGCAAGUCGAACGCUUCUUUUCCCACCGGAGCUUGCUCCACCGGGAAAAGAGGAGUGGCGAACGGGUGAGUAACACGUGAGUAACCUGCCCAUCAGAAGGGGAUAACACUUGGAAACAGGUGCUAAUACCGUAUAAUAAUCGAAACCGCAUGGUUUCGGUUUGAAAGGCGCUUUACGGUGCCGCUGAUGGAUGGACCCGCGGUGCAUUAGCUAGUUGGUGAGGUAACGGCUCACCAAGGCCACGAUGCAUAGCCGACCUGAGAGGGUGAUCGGCCACAUUGGGACUGAGACACGGCCCAAACUCCUACGGGAGGCAGCAGUAGGGAAUCUUCGGCAAUGGACGAAAGUCUGACCGAGCAACGCCGCGUGAGUGAAGAAGGUUUUCGGAUCGUAAAACUCUGUUGUUAGAGAAGAACAAGGGUGAGAGUAACUGUUCACCCCUUGACGGUAUCUAACCAGAAAGCCACGGCUAACUACGUGCCAGCAGCCGCGGUAAUACGUAGGUGGCAAGCGUUGUCCGGAUUUAUUGGGCGUAAAGCGAGCGCAGGCGGUUUCUUAAGUCUGAUGUGAAAGCCCCCGGCUCAACCGGGGAGGGUCAUUG
rnacentral:rRNA from 1 species